AAGUCGUAACAAGGUCUCCGUUGGUGAACCAGCGGAGGGGUCAUUAUAGAGUUUUCUAAACUCCCAACCAUGUGAACUUACCAUUGUUGCCUCGGCAGAAGCUACCUGGUUACCCUACCUUGGAACGGCCUACCCUGUAGCGCCUUACCCUGGAACGGCCUACCCUGUAACGGCUGCCGGUGGACUACCAAACUCUUGUUAUUUUAUUGUAAUCUGAGCGUCUUAUUUUAAUAAGUCAAAA
rnacentral:misc_RNA from 1 species